rnacentral:rRNA from 1 species
CCUAUACAUGCAAGUCGAGCGGACAGAAGGGAGCUUGCUCCCGGAUGUUAGCGGCGGACGGGUGAGUAACACGUGGGUAACCUGCCUGUAAGACUGGGAUAACUCCGGGAAACCGGAGCUAAUACCGGAUAGUUCCUUGAACCGCAUGGUUCAAGGAUGAAAGACGGUUUCGGCUGUCACUUGCAGAUGGACCCGCGGCGCAUUAGCUAGUUGGUGGGGUAAUGGCUCACCAAGGCGACGAUGCGUAGCCGACCUGAGAGGGUGAUCGGCCACACUGGGACUGAGACACGGCCCAGACUCCUACGGGAGGCAGCAGUAGGGAAUCUUCCGCAAUGGACGAAAGUCUGACGGAGCAACGCCGCGUGAGUGAUGAAGGUUUUCGGAUCGUAAAGCUCUGUUGUUAGGGAAGAACAAGUGCGAGAGUAACUGCUCGCACCUUGACGGUACCUAACCAGAAAGCCACGGCUAACUACGUGCCAGCAGCCGCGGUAAUACGUAGGUGGCAAGCGUUGUCCGGAAUUAUUGGGCGUAAAGGGCUCGCAGGCGGUUUCUUAAGUCUGAUGUGAAAGCCCCCGGCUCAACCGGGGAGGGUCAUUGGAAACUGGGAAACUUGAGUGCAGAAGAGGAGAGUGGAAUUCCACGUGUAGCGGUGAAAUGCGUAGAGAUGUGGAGGAACACCAGUGGCGAAGGCGACUCUCUGGUCUGUAACUGACGCUGAGGAGCGAAAGCGUGGGGAGCGAACAGGAUUAGAUACCCUGGUAGUCCACGCCGUAAACGAUGAGUGCUAAGUGUUAGGGGGUUUCCGCCCCUUAGUGCUGCAGCUAACGCAUUAAGCACUCCGCCUGGGGAGUACGGUCGCAAGACUGAAACUCAAAGGAAUUGACGGGGGCCCGCACAAGCGGUGGAGCAUGUGGUUUAAUUCGAAGCAACGCGAAGAACCUUACCAGGUCUUGACAUCCUCUGACAACCCUAGAGAUAGGGCUUUCCCUUCGGGGACAGAGUGACAGGUGGUGCAUGGUUGUCGUCAGCUCGUGUCCUGAAAUGUUGGGUUAAGUCCCGCAACCAACCGCACCCUUGAUCUUAGUUGCCAGCA